rnacentral:lncRNA from 1 species
UCCUUAAUAAGCUUCAUGUAAAUUAAUUAACAAUGAAAUACAUAACAUAUGAAAUUUAGAGUUUUACCAAAGGGAGCUAAAAAUUAACUAAUAACUCUGUCUGCUACACUUCCUUAAAUAUACACGGUGAAACUUAAUGUUUUAAAUGCCUAGUUUUGUGUACACUUAAGUUAAUCUACACAAGGCCUACAUCGAGUAUCGACUGCAUGUAG